rnacentral:tRNA from 1 species
UGAAUUAAAGUCAAAAAGAGACAAAUUAUUGUUAAUAAUUUUAUUAGAUUAGUUAUAUCUUAAUUCAA